rnacentral:lncRNA from 1 species
CUCCCCGCCCGUUUUCCGCGGCUACAGGUGACGUCAGCGCCCUGCGGCCCACCCUCUUCCGCCGGCGUAACACAUGCGUGGUAAGAGAGGGAGUUUGUCUCUUGGCCAAAUUUUCUCCUUCCUACCUGUGUGAUUGCAAGCACAAUCUGAAGACAGCUGUGGAUUGGAAGAGGAUCUUGCAUCAAUUGCCAGGGCUGGGAAUAUGAGUGGCUGCCUGAGAGGGUGCAUGUCCUGGAAAUAAGGAGCUCAGUGUAACAGUGUGAAAGUUGUGAAGUGCCGAAAGCCUAGAUCUUGCUUGAUUAAUGUAGCCUUUGAGAUUCUCAGCUUCUUGGCAGUGUGUCCCUAAAGAUUCUCUUUCUUCUCCAAGAUACAGAGGAGUAAACAGGGGAAGGGAGGAGAGUCCUGCUAAUACUGUUGAAGUGCAAGUAGGAGGCUGUGGAACAGCGGGAACAUCUGGUUUUCAAGUUUCAGUAACUGAAGUAACACAUUCUCAAGAAGUCAAGCUCCAAGGGGCUGCUGGGUGUAAAUAUAUCCUGAAGAUUAGUAUUUAUAAUGUUGAGAUUUGGGCAGCAUCUCAUCAAGCCCUCUGUGGUCUUCCUGAAGACGGAGCUCUCCUUUGCUCUUGUGAACCGGAAGCCAGUCGUCCCAGGGCGUAUCCUUUCAACCAGAGCCUCAAUCAUGAGCGCGUAUGGGCCGUUCAGCGUUCUGUGGAAAAGUGGGAGAUACUCUGCACGUUCUGAAGGCCAGCAGACAAGGUAUUGAUCUUUGGAUUUCUGUUCAGGAUGCCAUAAGGAGAACUAGCACAAAAGGAACACGGCAACGUUUGUAAAUAGAUUGAAUGCAAUAUGGAAUGACAGAGACAAACAUCAGAUCUAUGGCAGUACUAUAUCAUACAAAACAUUUUUCAACAGUUAUUGAAUUGGUUAUUAAAAAGAACAGGCUUUCUAACUGGGAACAGUGAGCUGAGAGUUAUCAGGAUCAAGCAAAUUUAAUAGUAAUUUGUGGUGAACAGUGUGGCCCCUUCAACAAGAGUGCGUGCAUCUGCAUGUAAUAAAUUAGAAUAAAUGCUUUACA